UCCCAGGUGGUCCAGUGGCUAAGACUCUUCACUCCCAAUGAAAGGGUCCUGGGUUUAAUCCCUGGUCAGGGAA
rnacentral:tRNA from 1 species